GACGAACGCUGGCGGCGUGCUUAACACAUGCAAGUCGAACGGUAAAGCGCUUUCCUCUUUGGCGGGCGUGGAUGAGUGGCCAACGGGUGAGUAACACGUGAGUAACCUGCCCCCUUCUUCUGGAUAACCGCAUGAAAGUGUGGCUAAUACGGGAUAUUCUGGGUCUGUCGCAUGAUGGGUCUGUGAAAGAUAUUGUUUCGGUGGGGGAUGGGCUCGCGGCCUAUAAGCUUGUUGGUGGGGUGAUGGCCUACCAAGGCGCUGACGGGUGGCUGGCCUGAGAGGAUGAGCGGCCAUAGUGCGGAUGCGACACGCACACGCCUCCGACAGGCAGCAGUGGUGGGGAAUAGUCCAUGAUGGGAGGACGGAUGCUGCAGCGCCGCGUCGUGAGGGAUGGCGGCCUUCGUGUUGUGACCCUCUGUCGCCAGUGAAGAGGGGCUGCCUAGUUUGUGGGUGGGUUGACGGUAGCUAGAGAAGAAGCGCCGGCUAACUACGUG
rnacentral:rRNA from 1 species